rnacentral:lncRNA from 1 species
AAAAAUCAAGCAGGUGGGAUAAAUUAGACAGCUCUGAACAGCAAAUAGACGAGGUUGGACCGCACCACAAAUGAUGAAAAAUAAGUCGAUGGAAGAACUUGAAAUAAAGGUCGAUGGAAAACUGCAGAAGAACACGAGUGAGGAGUUCGGACUACAGCAGGUCGGCCAAACACCAAAAUUAUCAAUUUUUCAAGAUUGAAUUUGGUGGGAUCAGAGUAAAGUAACGCGCCCAUACAAUCCAUGCAAAAGUGGUCGGCGUGGCUCUUGCUCACUGGGAGGUAAGUACCCAAAUACUUUAUAAAUAUUACAGCAAUGCCAUUAUAAAUGAUUUAUUAAAAUUAGCUUAUGCACGAUCCACAACUACUGCAAGCAAUUAAUUAUUUAUCAUCAUCACCACCAGACAAACCUCAAAAUCAAGAGCCCUUUACACUACCUUCAUUUAUUGUUUUACAGNNN